CUCAUGCUAUGGGGGCACAUCAUCAGGAAUGUCCUCGUAGGCCUCCUCAUCGGUAGAUUGGGCAAGACGAUACUGAGGAGGGUAGGUUCCCCGGCACCUCUCGAUCAUCCUCAUGCUAAGCAUGCUUGAGAUGCCUCGUGGAGACAUCUGGCCGAUGGGGGUGAGGGAUGAUUCUUGGGUCGCGGUGUUGAGGAGCCCGAAGUGUUGCGCCAGCCGAGUCACGUAGGGGCCAAUAGAGAUGAC
rnacentral:lncRNA from 1 species